ACUGCGCAGCCGCCGGCAGUCGUCACUAGACUUCCUUAUUAGUCUUACGUUUGUAUUCGAGUUCAGUUAAAGUUCGUUUUCAAACCUAGACGACUUACCUACAAAUAAUUUAUUUAAAAAAUAUAUUUAGUACAGCAAUAUCGUGUGCUGUUUAAUAUUAACACGAUUAAAAUAAACGGAUUCGACCCCGCUUUUAGGGGUUCAUGCCUUGCUGCCUUUCACGCUUCUUGCUUCGCUUGAUAAUCUGCGUCUGUGCUGAAAAGGUCAUCUCCGCACAGUAACCCGUACCCUGGUGAUCUAGCCAGCCCAGGAAACCUCCAGGAGUCCAGACGUGGUGCUUCAGCGGGUCAACCCACGUCCGUUGGCUGCCGGAAUUCAGGAGGGUAACCUACAGAGGGAGAGUCAGAUCGGCCGUACAACCACACCCUACAAAUUUGUGUGCUCAACUGCCUGUUUUUUUUUUUGUAAUAUAUAUUCUUUUAACUGA